rfam:Bombyx mori DNA, contig: Bm_scaf16_contig12133, strain: p50T/Dazao, build 2, whole genome shotgun sequence.
UUAACUCAAGUUUGUAUGAAGUUGGAACGUUUGCCCACGUUUGACGUUAGGGGCGCUGUUCAAACUGCAUACAAAUUUAAGUUA